CCUACGGGUGGCUGCAGUAAGGAAUAUUGGUCAAUGGGCGGAAGCCUGAACCAGCCAUGCCGCGUGCAGGAAGACGGCCCUACGGGUUGUAAACUGCUUUUAUACGGGAAUAAACCCCGAUACGUGUAUCGGGCUGAAUGUACUGUAAGAAUAAGGAUCGGCUAACUCCGUGCCAGCAGCCGCGGUAAUACGGAGGAUCCAAGCGUUAUCCGGAUUUAUUGGGUUUAAAGGGUGCGUAGGUGGCCUGUUAAGUCAGGGGUGAAAGACGGUAGCUCAACUAUCGCAGUGCCCUUGAUACUGAUGGGCUUGAAUGAACUAGAGGUAGGCGGAAUGUGACAAGUAGCGGUGAAAUGCAUAGAUAUGUCACAGAACACCAAUUGCGAAGGCAGCUUACUAUGGUUUUAUUGACACUGAGGCACGAAAGCGUGGGGAUCAAACAGGAUUAGAUACCCCUGUAGUC
rnacentral:rRNA from 1 species